AGAGUUUGAUCCUGGCUCAGAAUGAACGCUGGCGGCGUGCUUAACACAUGCAAGUCGGAUGUGCCGCAAGGUGCAUGGCAGACGGGUGAGUAACGCGUAGGGAACCUACCUCUUUGUGGGGAAUAACGUUCCGAAAGGAAUGGUAAUACCGCAUGAGAUCCACGACUGGGAUGUUGUGGAUGAAAGCCGGGGAUCGAAAGACCUGGCGCAAGGAGAGGGUCCUGCGUCUGAUUAGCUAGUUGGUGGGGUAACGGCCUACCAAGGCGACGAUCAGUAGCCGGCCUGAGAGGGUGAUCGGCCACACUGGAACUGAGACACGGUCCAGACUCCUACGGGAGGCAGCAGUGGGGAAUUUUGCGCAAUGGACGAAAGUCUGACGCAGCAACGCCGCGUGGGUGAUGAAGGUCUUCGGAUUGUAAAACCCUGUCGUCAGGGACGAAGGUUGGGAUCCUAAUACGAUUUCAGCUUGACGGUACCUGGAGAGGAAGCCCCGGCUAACUMYGUGCCAGCAGCCGCGGUAAUACRKAGGGGGCAAGCGUUAUCCGGAAUCACUGGGCGUAAAGGGUGCGUAGGUGGCCUAUCAAGUCAGAAGUGAAAGGCAGUGGCUUAACCACUGUAAGCUUUUGAAACKGAUGGGCUUGAGUGCAGGAGAGGUAAGUGGAAUUCCUAGUGUAGCGGUGAAAUGCGUAGAUAUUAGGAGGAACACCAGUGGCGAAGGCGACUUACUGGACUGUUACUGACACUGAGGCACGAAAGCGUGGGGAGCAAACAGGAUUAGAUACCCUGGUAGUCC
rnacentral:rRNA from 1 species